GUAUUUAGAAUUAUUUCAUUCAAAAAUAGCUUCAGACAAAAAAAUUGCAAUAAAAAAGUUGGUAUUAUGCGCAUGACGCGUCACUGACGCGACGCGUGUGGCACAAACAUUUCACACAAGGUGAGUACUUGUUUAAAAAGUGCAGUAGAACACUUGUUAUGAAUGAUCCUUCCGCAGGUUCACCUACGGAAA
rnacentral:misc_RNA from 1 species